GUGGGUGUCUGAGAGCCAAGCCCAAGGACGUGCCCACAAAUCGGAGCAGGAAGAAGAUGCUGGUCCUUGCACUCUGUGCCACUGCACUUAACCUGCUGCGCUACCGCCCGACUCCCCAUAGAUGUAUUUUUUAAAUGACCAUAUGAAAAUAUUGGAAAGCAAGCCAAGACUGUACAACAAAAGAAGAAAACUAGGUAUUAUUAUCCAGUGAGGGGCCCUGAAGAAUGUCACAGUAACACUCUCCUUGGCCUCUCCUAGUCCACUGACUCUGCAGACUCUGCGGGGUGCUCCUGACACCUCCGAGCUCCAUCAUUCCUGGCCUGUUG